rnacentral:snRNA from 1 species
GUUCUGGCUUUGGCAAUGCAUAUACUAAAAUUGGAACAUACAGAGAAGAAAAGCAUGGCCCCUGCGCAAGAAUGACACAUAAAUUCAUGAAGCGUUCCAUAUUUUU